AUACAGAGGGUGCAAGCGUUGCUCGGAUUUACUGGGCGUAAAGCGUACGCAGACGGCCUGAUAAGUCGGGUGUGAAAGCCCCGGGCUCAACCCGGGAACUGCAUUCGAAACUGUCAGGCUCGAGUAUGGGAGAGGGAAGCGGAAUUCCUGGUGUAGAGGUGAAAUUCGUAGAUAUCAGGAGGAACACCGGCGGCGAAGGCGGCUUCCUGGCCCAUUACUGACGUUCAGGUACGAAAGCGUGGGGAGCAAACAGGAUUAGAUACCCUGGUAGUCCACGCUGUAAACGAUGCAUACUGGCUGUCGGCGGUAUUAACCCCGUCGGUAGCGAAGCUAACGCGUUAAGUAUGCCGCCUGGGGAGUACGGCCGCAAGGUUGAA
rnacentral:rRNA from 1 species